ACUGCAGGUACUGCUACAAACAGCGUCUUUCAUUGAUGUGAGGGCACUUCAACAAUUUUGAGGUUGGGAUGUUUUUCUCAAAGGACAGGAAAAAAGACACUGACAGAGAAGAAAAUAGCCCCUCCAAGAGUCCAAAAACACAGCAGUCUGUGGAUCAUUCUACUUCAGUGGCUACACAAAGCCUGCCAGAACAGUGAUCUCCAAUCCUGGUGCCUGACCUCUAUUGUAAUGGAAACACAACCAAAACCAUGUAGGAUCGAGCCGCGCUGAGGCGAGGUCUUAGAUGUCAGGACAGGCCAUCCAAAUUGAGACUGAUGAGCAGCUGUAGAUCAGAGGUUGGUGGAAGGAGCCCUCCAGCUGAUUUCAGAUCCAUCUAGUGAGGUUGCACAGCCUCAUCUCACCAGCAGAGAAUCGCAGCAGCUACAGUAGGGGGAAAUAUGUCUUAUAGUUAAAAGAAGGGAGCCGCACCCUCCAAAAUAGGAAAUAAGUUCAUGGCACUGUCCACCUGCCACCGACAGAGACAGGGAAUAGAGAUAACCUGCAUCAUGCAUCAGAACAAAUUAGGGGAACACAAUCUAAAAUAAUACCCGACAAGUGUCAAUGUGAAUCAUCCAGUAUUUCCAGUAUAAAACAUACACACUGUUUGUUUGUGUGCACAUGACACAAGCACAAAGAAUCCACAAGCGGGAAACACCUCAGAAGAGAGCAGUUAUGUACCAUACAAAUGUGGUUGAGCACAAGCUUGGAGCUGCUCAAAAUUCACUUGCUCAGUGUGUUGACAUCUGAAGGAUGAGACAGUAGCUGCCAUCCCUGCUCUUUUGAUUUACUGAACAUGACUUCUGAUUGGUCAUUAGGUUUGAUCGCUGACGAGCAAAACAUCUUGUUCCACACUACAGACAUCCAGUCCAGUCUGCCACAACAGUACGACAUGGAACAUCAAAACAUCCAUCCAUCUGUGCAUCCCCGUAACAGGCAUACAGUUCUCACCAAGCAGGGAGACCUCAGCAUCAACACGUGUACCUGUCUAUUGUCACUAUACAUUUAAAUCAAAUCAAAUGUUUUUACUGAUAACUCUAUAUAUUAUGACAAGUAUGUGGCUUUAAAGUUGUGGCUUAUCUUUGAAUAACCAUGGCUUGUUUUUUUUAAAUUGUAUUUUGGUUUUAUACAAUUGUAUUUUGUAGGUUCAGUUAUUCUCCAUAUCUUUAUGACUCGAUUAAGUAAAAAUAAACUGAUCUGCCACAUGAGGAAAGCCAGUUAUCAUUAGAAAGUGUGGGACCAUUUGUAAUACCACCACCAACAAAACAACAAUAAUAGAAAUUGUAAUAAUCAAGAAAAAAAAAAGCUCAGAAAGUCUAGAAACGAAGAGAAGCGUAAUAUCUAGAAACUAAUUUGGGAAACCUGAACAGGCUGACCAGACGAUAAGCUAUAUUUGCGUCUAAUAUGUCCAGGCCUAUGCUGCCAUGGCAUCAGAAGCAGUGAUAUAUUUAGCUAAUGAAGAAGGAGAUAUAGAAAAGGAG